rnacentral:rRNA from 1 species
CUAGGGGUGCUUCCAUCUGGAAGAAUCUGGAGACAGGUGCUGCAUGGCUGUCGUCAGCUCGUGCGUGAGAUGUUGGGUUAAGUCCCGUAACGAGCGCAACCCUUGUCCUUAGUUACCAGCACGUUAUGGUGGGCACUCUAAGGAGACUGCCGGUGACAAACCGGAGGAAGGUGGGGAUGACGUCAAGUCAUCAUGGCCCUUACGGCCUGGGCUACACACGUGCUACAAUGGUCGGUACAAAGGGUUGCCAAGCCGCGAGGUGGAGCUAAUCCCAUAAAACCGAUCGUAGUCCGGAUCGCAGUCUGCAACUCGACUGCGUGAAGUCGGAAUCGCUAGUAAUCGUGAAUCAGAAUGUCACGGUGAAUACGUUCCCGGGCCUU